UGCGAAUUCCCGGAGGCCGAGCCGAGCCGCUCUCACCAGUCCGGACGCGCCCUUCCCACUCCCCAGCCCCACCCCCGCCCCGCAGGUCGGCCUCUUCUGGGUGUUUGCCACUGUGUCUGCCGAAGGCCAGCCUGCCCUGCGGCCGGUCCUGGGCGGCUGCUGGCGCGCCUCGUCCUGGCAGUUCUGCAGUGAGGGGCACCCCCGCCUGGCUUUAUGGUGUGGCCUGGAGGCCCCUCCGAGGCAAAAACACGAGUCAGAGAACACUUCCAAGGCGCUGCCGGGCACACUGGGUGAGGGAGCCGCCGGGGUCCCUUUCUGCUGGCUCCUGGCCGCCACCUCUGUCUCCCGAGUCAGAAGGUCCCAUCUAACUCGGGAGACAGAGGUGGUGGCACAAAGCCGUGGUGCCUCUGCAAGCCCCAACUCCAGAGGUCUCUCUGGGGCCGAGUGGCCGCUGCCUGCCUGUGGGCUUCUCUUCCUGGUCCGAAAGUGUAAAUGUUGGAUGGAGUCUGGUGCGGUGACCAGAGGAGAGAUACGGGCCUGGGAGAAAGAAUUCCCGGGCCCAGGGAGGCAGAGCCUCCAGGUGCUGGACUGGACGGAGGGAAGCGGGGGCGGGCGGUGGAGACAGAGAGACAGAGAGAGAAAGAGAGACAGAGACAGAGAGACACAGAGAGAAGAGGAGAGACAGAGAUGGGAGGGAGUGCCAGUGAGUCAGAGCCUUUCCGGGUGUUCAAACCACCGUAGGGAACUUCACGGGGUGGCUUGAGAGCAAACUAAGCCAGCGGAGGAGGUUUCACAGUGACUCAGUAGCCAGUUAGCAAUGUGUGAAUUCACGUUUUCUGGCGAAGCCUUCAUAACCCCCCAAUCACACAACUAAUAAUUCAACACAUGCAGGCAAUUCAUAGAAAGGGGUGCCCCCGCGAUGCAUGUAUAGAAAGGGGUGCCCCCGCGAUGCAGGUAUAGAAAGGGGUGCCCCCGCGAUGCAGGUAUAGAACGGGGUGCCCCCGCGAUGCAGGUAGAGAAAGGGGUGCCCCCGCGAUGCAGGUAUAGAAAGGGGUGCCCCCGCGAUGCAGGUAUAGAAA